GACGUAGGGCGCGAGCGUUGUCCGGAUUUAUUGGGCGUAAAGAGCUCGUAGGCGGCUUGUCGCGUCGGCUGUGAAAUCCCGUGGCUCAACUGCGGGUCUGCAGCCGAUACGGGCAGGCUAGAGUUCGGUAGGGGAGACUGGAAUUCCUGGUGUAGCGGUGAAAUGCGCAGAUAUCAGGAGGAACACCGGUGGCGAAGGCGGGUCUCUGGGCCGAAAUUGACGCUGAGGAGCGAAAGCGUGGGGAGCAAACAGG
rnacentral:rRNA from 1 species